UGCACCGGAUCCCAUCAGAACUCUGCAGUUAAGCGUGCUUGGGCGAGAGUAGUACUAGGAUGGGUGACCUCCUGGGAAGUCUUCGUGUUGCACCCC
rnacentral:rRNA from 1 species